GAUGAACGCUGGCGGCGUGCCUAAUACAUGCAAGUCGAGCGAACAGAUGAGGAGCUUGCUCCUCUGACGUUAGCGGCGGACGGGUGAGUAACACGUGGAUAACCUACCUAUAAGACUGGGAUAACUUCGGGAAACCGGAGCUAAUACCGGAUAAUAUAUUGAACCGCGUGGUUCAAUAGUGAAAGACGGUUUUGCUGUCACUUAUAGGUGGAUCCGCGCCGCAUUAGCUAGUUGGUAAGGUAACGGCUUACCAAGGCAACGAUGCGUAGCCGACCUGAGAGGGUGAUCGGCCACACUGGAACUGAGACACGGUCCAGACUCCUACGGGAGGCAGCAGUAGGGAAUCUUCCGCAAUGGGCGAAAGCCUGACGGAGCAACGCCGCGUGAGUGAUGAAGGUCUUCGGAUCGUAAAACUCUGUUAUUAGGGAAGAACAAAUGUGUAAGUAACUAUGCACGUCUUGACGGUACCUAAUCAGAAAGCCACGGCUAACUACGUG
rnacentral:rRNA from 1 species